GUGGUCAAGCUAUCAAGGGCACGCGGGGGAUGCCUUGGCGCCAAGAGACGAUGAAGGACGUGGCAAACUGCGAUAAGCUCCGGGAAGCCGUUAAGCAGGCUGCGAUCCGGAGAUUUCCGAAUCGGGAAACCGGUCCGGGGUGAUGCCCGGACAGUCGUCCCUGAAUUCAUAGGGGGCGGCAGUGAACGGGGGGAACUGAAACAUCUCAGUACCCCCAGGAAGAGAAAGAAACCUCGAUUCCCUCAGUAGCGGCGAGCGAACGGGGAAGAGCCUAAACCGUGUACGUGCAAGCUCGACGGCGUUGCGUAUGCGGUGUUGUGGGAUUUUCCAUGGCCGGCGUCGAUCGGCCGAGGGAGUUACAAAAGUGUUGUCCAGCCGAACAUUCUGGAAAGUUUGGCCAGAGCGGGUGAUAGCCCCGUAGGCGAACGGCAGCGCUCUCCCGGAAAACUCCCGAGUAGGCCCGGACACGUGAAACCCGGGUUGAAUCCGCGGGGACCACCCCGCAAGGCUAAAUACUACUUGGCGACCGAUAGCGAACCAGUAGCGCGAGCGAAAAUGGUGAAAAGUACCCCUGUGAGGGGAGUGAAAAGUACCUGAAACCGCGUGCCUACAAGCCGUGGAGGGGCUAUGGCCUUCGGGCAAUGCCUGACCACGUACCUUUUGCAUAAUGGGCCUGGGAGUUACCGUCUGCGGCAAGGUUAAGGGUCUUGAGGCCCGAAGCCGAAGCGAAAGCGAGUGUGAAUAGCGCGUUCAAGUCGCAGGUGGUAGACCCGAAAACGGGCGAUCUAACCAUGGCCAGGAUGAAGCGGACGUAAGAGUCCGUGGAGGUCCGAACAGGUUGAGGUUGAAAACUCAUCUGAUGAGCUGUGGUUUGGAGCAAAAGACUAAUCAAGCCCGUAGAUAGCUGGUUCUCUCCGAAAUGCCUUUUGGGGCAGCGUCGGAAGUUGUGCCACGGGGGUAGAGCCACUGAAUGGAAGUGGGGGGCUACCCGCUUACCCUUUCCAAUCAAACUCCGAAUACCGUGCGUACUAUUCCGGCAGUGAGUCCACGUGGGAUAAGCUGCGUGGACGAGACCGAGACAACGGUGACCGACGGCUAAGGUCCCUAAUUGUAACUAAGUGCAUAAGGAAGUCCGGGUGCAAAGACAGCGGGGAUGUUGGCUUAGAAGCAGCCAUCAUUUAAAAAGUGCGUAAUAGCUUACCCGUCAAGCACCCGCGCGCCGAGGAUGAGCGGGACUCAAGUUACAAACCGAAGCCACGGGAUGCGGACCCUCUGCGGAGGGACCGUAUCGGUAGGAGAGCGUUCGACGCUAGGACGAAGGAUGACCGUGAGGACAUCUGGACGAUGUCGAAGUGAUAAUCCAGGCACGAGUAACGAUAAAAGUGGUGGGAAUCCACUUCGCCGUAAGCCUAAGGUUUCCUGGGGAAGGCAAGUCCGCCCAGGGUUAGUCGGGUCCUAAGGCGAGGCCGAAAGGCGUAGUCGAUGGACAGCGGGUUAAUAUUCCCGCACCACUCCAUAGCCCAAUAUCCGAGGAGGGGUGGAGAAAGCUAGAUGAUCGCACGGAUGGAAGUGUGCGUACCUGCCCUUAGGGGGUUCCGUAGGUAAAUCCGCGGGACACAUACCCUGAGGGGCGGGUCGAGACCGAUUUGCGUUGAAGUCAUCGAUGCUCUGCUUCCGAGAAAAGCUUCGCGGAACAUGACUAUGUGAGUGUCCGUACCGCAAACCGACACAGGUAGGCAGGGUGAGUAUCCUCAGGCGCUCGAGUAAUCCGUCGUCAAGGAACUCGGCAAAUUAGCUCCGUAACUUCGGGAUAAGGGGCGCCCAGGGAAGUGUAGGUCCUCGCGACCGAAGCAUCCUUGGGCCGCAGAGAAAUGGGCCAACCGACUGUUUACCAAAACACAGGUCUCCGCUAAGUCGCAAGA
rnacentral:rRNA from 1 species